GGGUGGUAUUGAUGCAAUGCAAACUAAAAUAUUACCCCUAAUCACGAAGCUUAACCUUGUUUAACAAUCUCUUGAAUGGAACCAUAUCAAAUAUCUUUUGAAAAUCCAGAAUUAAAGCUAUUUGGGACAAACAUUGAAGAUCAUUAUGAC